UACAGAGGGUGCGAGCGUUGUCCGGAAUCACUGGGCGUAAAGGGCGAGUAGGUGGCUUGUUAAGCGUGUGGUGAAAGCCCGGGGCUCAACCCCGGGUCUGCCGUGCGAACUGGCAAGCUUGAGCAGAGUAGAGGCGGGUGGAAUUUCGGGUGUAGCGGUGGAAUGCGUAGAUAUCCGAAAGAACACCGGUGGCGAAGGCGGCCCGCUGGGCUCUUGCUGACACUGAACCGCGACAGCGUGGGGAGCAAACAGG
rnacentral:rRNA from 1 species